UACGUAGGGUGCAAGCGUUGUCCGGAAUUAUUGGGCGUAAAGAGCUCGUAGGCGGUCUGUUGCGUCGGCUGUGAAAACCCGAGGCUCAACCUCGGGCCUGCAGCCGAUACGGGCAGACUAGAGUUCGGCAGGGGAGACUGGAAUUCCUGGUGUAGCAGUGAAAUGCGUAGAUAUCAGGAGGAACACCGAUGGCGAAGGCAGGUCUCUGGGCUGACACUGACGCUCAUGCACGAAAGCGUGGGGAGCAAACAGG
rnacentral:rRNA from 1 species